rnacentral:rRNA from 1 species
GCUGGAUGUAUACAGAUUGGCUCACGGGUGAGUAACACGAGGGAACGUGCCUUUCCUGUCCCAAUAACACAGAAUAAAUUUGUGCUAAUGCCUGCUACGUGCGAGAGCGUCUCUGGUAUCGCCGGAAGAUCGACCCGCGUCUGAUUAGCUAGUUGGUGAGGUAACGGCUCACGGGCCUGACUAUCAUCAGCUGGUCUGAGAGGAUGAUCUUACACACUGGAACUGAGACACGGGCCCUACUCCUACGACACGCCACACUGGGGAAUAUUGGACGAUGGGACCCCGCCUGAUGCAACCAUGCCGCGAGAUUGAUGAAUGCCCUAAGGUUGGAAGGCUCUUUUACCCGGGAACAUAAAGAGUGUUCCGAUCGAAUAACCCCCGGCUAACUUCGUGCCAACGACCGCGGUGAUACAAUGGGGGCUAGCUAACUACCGGAAUCACUGGGCGUAAAGCGCUCGUAGGCGGAUCUUUUCCUCAUACGUGAAAUCCCGGACCUCAGCUCCCGAACUGCCUUUGAUACUGUGGAUCUCCAUGCCUGAAGAGGUGAAUGCAACUGCGAGUGUCAGAUGAAAUUGCUACAUAUGCACGUGAACUUCACUGUGUAAUGCUGAUCAGCGGCCCGGAACUGACGCUGAGGAGCGAAAAAGGCGACCAGCAAACAGGAUACCUGACGCUGGUACGUCCACAGCCGUAGACAAUGGAUGCCAUUCGUUACCCCAGCUUGUCUGCUUACGUGGCACGAUGUAACACUGUGUGCAUCCCGGCUGAAAGAGUAUCGGU